GCUUUUCGUAACCUCAACAAAUACAUAAGCGUGAGCUUCGUUCGAAUUUGUAACACGUCUUUUGGUCAGCACGAGUUAACCUUUAAUCGCAACGAAGUCAAUUCCUUUCAAUGAGCAGCAAAAUAUCACCUACUCACUGCUCGGGUCCUAGUGACAGCUUCCCUAAACAUCCUCAUACCAUGGCAGGGUCAAGGUUUUUCGAUGGCAGAAUUGAUGGAUCAGUGCAGUAUAUGUCAUCAACUCCGUGGGGAAUCUGUGAGAACUCUGGGACUAGUCGAUUCUGUCGUAAAACUACAGGUAGGGGGUACUGUCGAUGUUUUAUGCAAACAGACAAUCCGGCAAGUGCAAGACAACAAAGACGACCGAUGCAGAGUCUGUCUCUUAAUCAGAAAGCUAAUCGGGAAUUGAAUGCAGCUACGUCUUCUUUUCGCCAUUCCAUCAACUACCCCGCUGAAGAAUAUGCGGAAGAUGUAAUUACUCAUGUGACUCAAGAUAAGACAAGACCCUUUGAAUUGGGAACUUCGGCAAGACACGUUAGAGAGAGCGACCAAAAUGCAGAGACCAGUAAAAGCUUUGCCAUGACAGCGUAGGACAUUAUCGAAGGACGAUGCAUACUUAGUAGGACAACAGGUUGACAAGUUUUCUUUUAAGGCGCUAUUUUGCAUUUAUCACUACAUCCUCGAGUUCCUCGAAGUCAGGCACUGUCGUGUGCGAGACGUCUAGGGAAAGUUAUUUCUAAGAAGGGUGUUUCAAAGCUUCGCGCUAAUGGAACAAUUUAAGUAAAGUGACUCGUGUAUGAAUGCAACUUAAGCUAAAAUGGACAAAAAGUUUUAACUAAAAUAAAUUUUACGUAACGAU